CAGCCGCCGCGGUAAUCCGUAGGGUGCGAGCGUUAAUCGGAAUUACUGGGCGUAGAGCGUGCGCAGGCGGUUGUGUAAGACAGGUGUGAAAUCCCCGGGCUUAACCUGGGAACUGCGCUUGUGACUGCACAGCUAGAGUAUGGCAGAGGGGGGUGGAAUUCCACGUGUAGCAGUGAAAUGCGUAGAGAUGUGGAGGAACACCGAUGGCGAAGGCAGCCCCCUGGGCCAAUACUGACGCUCAUGCACGAAAGCGUGGGGAGCAAACAGGAUUAGAUACCCCGGUAGUCCCUGUCUCUUAUAC
rnacentral:rRNA from 1 species